GGAUAUCAAGUGUGAUCUGGCUGUGAUGUCACCCUAGUGAUAGGAGGUUGAUUAGGCUCAUGUAAUUGGCUAUGUGUGUGCACCCUUCCUUUUCUACCACUCCAAGUGUGUCACCUCUGAAGCUGUAUGGUCUAUCAUAGAGGAUGACCAUCCCCGAUAGAGGAGGAUUGUUGUUCAAUUAAAGGUAAUUAAGCUCUGUACAUUAACUUUUUAUAAAUAACAAUUUAUUAUGUUAUUGAUUGUGGACCUUGAACUCUGGGCUUGGGCACUGUCCCUCAGCUCUUCAGU
rnacentral:snRNA from 1 species